GUAGUCCUAGCUGUAAACAAUGGAUACUAGAUGUUGAACAGAUCGACCUGUGCAGUAUUAAAGCUAACGCGUUAAGUAUCCCGCCUGGGGAGUACGCACGCAAGUGUGAAACUCAAAGGAAUUGACGGGGGCCCGCACAAGCGGUGGAGUAUGUGGUUUAAUUCGAUGCAACGCGAAGAACCUUACCAGGGUUUGACAUCCUGCGAACCCCCUGGAAACGGGGGGGUGCCUUCGGGAACGCAGUGACAGGUGGUGCAUGGCUGUCGUCAGCUCGUGUCGUGAGAUGUUGGGUUAAGUCCCGCAACGAGCGCAACCCACGUCGUUAGUUGCCAGCAUUCAGUUGGGCACUCUAGCGAGACCGCCGGUGAUAAACCGGAGGAAGGUGUGGAUGACGUCAAGUCAUCAUGCCCCUUACAUCCUGGGCUACACACGUACUACAAUGCUACGGACAAAGGGCCGCAAGCUCGCGAGAGUUAGCAAAUCCCAUAAACCGUGGCUCAGUUCAGAUCGUAGGCUGCAACUCGCCUACGUGAAGGAGGAAUCGCUAGUAAUCGCAGGUCAGCAUACUGCGGUGAAUACGUUCCCGGGCCUUGUACACACCGCCCGUCACACCAUGGA
rnacentral:rRNA from 1 species